rnacentral:rRNA from 1 species
AUUGAACGCUGGCGGCAGGCCUAACACAUGCAAGUCGAACGAGUGGCGGACGGGUGAGUAAUGUCUGGGAAACUGCCUGAUGGAGGGGGAUAACUACUGGAAACGGUAGCUAAUACCGCAUACCAUCAGAUGUGCCCAGAUGGGAUUAGCUUUUUGGUGGGGUAACGGCUCACCAAGGCGACGAUCCCUAGCUGGUCUGAGAGGAUGACCAGCCAUACUGGAACUUAGACACGGUCCCGACUCCUACGGGAGGCAGCAGUGGGGAAAAUUGCACAAUGGGCGCAAGCCUGAUUCCGCCAUGCCGCGUGUAUGAAGAAGGCCUUCGGGGUUGAAAUUACUUUCAGCCGGGAGGCGUUACCCGCAGAAGAAGCCCCGGCUAACUCCGUGCCAGCAGCCGCGGUAAUUC